rnacentral:rRNA from 1 species
GACGAACCGAGCGAACGUUGUUCGGAAUCACUGGGCUUAAAGGGCGCGUAGGCGGGUGCUCAAGUCCGGGGUGAAAGCCCCCAGCUUAACUGGGGAAGGGCCUUGGAUACUGAUGGUCUGGAGGGGGGUAGGGGCAGUGGGAACUUCCGGUGGAGCGGUGAAAUGCGUUGAUAUCGGAAGGAACGCCGGUGGCGAAAGCGCACUGCUGGACCUUUUCUGACGCUGAGGCGCGAAAGCCAGGGGAGCAAACGGG